ACAUACCCCAUGCUUGCCGGAUCUAUCAUGACCCUUUCACGUGGACCCCUUAGAGUCUUAAGCCCUUAAAAGGGCCAGGAACUCUUUCUUCAGGGAGCUUCGUUCUUGAGAUGCAAGUCUGUUGACACUCCCAGAGGAAUAAAGCCUCUUCCCUCUUUAACCUGGUGUCUGAGGGGUUUUGUCUGUGGCUUGUCCUGCUACAUUUCUUGGUUUCCUGACAGGGAAGAGAGGUGAUUAAGGGAUGGUCGAGGCAGCCCCUUAGGCAGCUUAGGACUGCCCUGUGGAGCAUCCCUGCGGGGAACUCCAGCCAGCUUGAGCGAUGUGGAUCCUGAGAGUGCUCCUGGGUAGGCAUUUGCCCCAGUGGAAUGCCUCGUCAGAGUGGUGCACGGCAGGCCCCCACAGAGGAUCAACGCAGGGGCUGAACACCAGGAAGGAACUGGCGCUUGGAGUCUGGACAUCUGGAAUACAGUAGGACCAGUCCUGGGAACUUACCCACUCCAUUUGAGUGGAAGCGUGGCCUGAUCACCCAUGGUGUGCCCUUAUCGGCACUUUGGUCUCAGUUUUGAUUUUGAUUUGGCUUGGCUUGUUUGAAAAAAGGAAAGUGAAAGUGAGUGAAUGCUUCUUUGAGAUUGGCACCAGAUGGACAGCGGUUGCCGUCUGAUGUGAGUGUUGAGCUCUGAGCCGCAGUUCUGUAGGAUACCUCAUACAGCUAAGUGGCAGUUCGUGCUGGUGCCUGGUACCAGCCUGCCUAAGCUAAGAGGAUCUGAGAUUCCCAUAAGGGAAGUGGCCAGCAUCGGGCGAGGCAAGUGAUCAGGUGUGGAUCAAGGAUUGGAAUGUAGCCCCCUUGCGGCCACAGUGGAAAAGACCCCAGACCGUUGUUUUGACCACUCCCACCGUUGUAAAGGUAGAGGGAAUCCCAGCCUGGAUCCACCACAGCCAUGUAAAACCUGCAGCACCUGAGACCUGGAAAGUGAGACCAAGCCUAGACAACCCCUGCAAAGUGACUCUGAAGAAGAUGACAAACCCUGCUCCACUCACACCUGGAAGCUGACUGGUCCACGCAUGGCCGAAGCAUAAGGAAACUCAUCAUGGGACUCAUUUUCCUUAAAGUUUGAACUUGUACAAUAAGGACUUCAACUGACGUCCUCAGACUGAGGACUGUACCCAGUGUAUACAUCAAAUCGCUGAGGUAGGACAAAAGGUUGAUGCAGUCCUAUUAUUUUAUAGUUAUUAUGAGUGUACCGGGACUCUAAAAGGAACUUGUUUGUGUAAUGCUACUCUAUACAAGAUAUGUAGCCCAGGAAGUGACCAGCCUGAUGUGUGCUCUACCCCAUCUGAGCCCCCUGUGAAUACCAUUUUUGAAAUAAGAUUGCGGACUGGCAGCUGGGGAAAAGCUGAUAUGAGUAAAUAACUGGAACAGAAGAGAAAGGAGUCCCCAAACAAAUUAUCUUAAAAUUUGAUGCCUGUGCAGCAAUCAACAGUGACCUGUAUGGAAAUAGGAUAAGAUAUGGCUCUCUAGAUUGGGAAAGGGGCUAUAUAGAAGAAAAUAAGUAUGUUUGUCAUGAAUUAGGAAUGUGUAGUGAUGAAUGUAGUUACUGGUCCUGUGUCAUUUAGGCCACCUGGAAAAAAAGAUGAGAGGGACCCUGUCCACCUUCAAAAAGGAAAGAGUAACUCUUCCUGCACUAGUGGUUACUGUAACCCAUUAGGACUACUAAUUACCAAUCUCCUUGAUCCCUGUUGGAAAACAGGAGAGUAUGUAACUCUAGGAAUUGAUGGAACUGGACUAGAUCUCCGAGUAAAUAUUUUAAUCCAAGGGGAGGUCCACAGGUGCUUUCCCAAACCAGUGUUUCAGACCUUUUAUGAUGAACUGAAUCUGCCAGCACCAGGGCUUCCACACACACAAAAAAAGACAACUUGUUUCUCCAGUUAUCAGGAAAUGUAGCUCAUUCCCUCAAUGUUACUUCCUGUUAUGUAUGUGGGGAACCACUAUGGGAGACCAAUGGCCUUGGGAUGCCCGAGAAUUGGUGCCUACUGAUCCAGUUCCUGACAUAAUUCCAGUCCAGAAGGCCCAAAUUAGCAACUUCUGGGUCCUGAAAACCUCGAUUAUUGGAUAAUACUGCAUAGCCAGAGAAGGAAAAGACUUCACCAUCCUUCUAGGAAGGCUCAAUUGUCUAGGACAGAAGCUGUAUAACAGCACAACAGGGACAGUCACCUGGUGGGGUCUAAACCAUACUGAAAAGAAUCCCUUCAGUAAAUUUCCUAAAUUACAGACUGCUUAGGUCCAUCCAGAAUCUCAUCGAGACUGAACGGCUCCCUCUGAACUAUACUAGAUAUGUAGGCACAGAGCCCACACUCCAUCACCUGAUCAAUGGGUAAGUAGUUGUGUCAUUGGCACCAUUAAGCCAUCCUUUUUCCUACUGCCUGUAAAAACAGGUGAGCUCCUAGGUUUCCCUGUCUAUGCCUGAGAAAAGAGGAGCAUAUCUAUAGGAAAUUGGAAAGAUGAUGAGUGGCCCCCCGAAAGGAUCAUACAGUACUAUAGGCCUGCCACAUGAGCACAAGACAGCUCCUGGGGAUACCGAACCCCCAUCUACAUGCUCAACCAGAUCAUAUGGUUACAGGCCAUAUUAGAAAUAAUCACUAAUGAAACUGGCAGAGCUUUGACUCUUUUAGCCCAGCAGGAAACCCAAAUGAGAAAUGCCAUCUAUCAGAAUAGAUUGGCCUAGACUAUUUGCUGGCAACUGAAGGAGGAGUCUGUGGAAAAUUCAACUUGACUAAUUGCUGUCUGCAAAUAGAUGAUCAAGGACAAGUAGUUGAAAAUAUAGUUAGAGACGUGACAAAGCCAACACAUGUGCCCAUGCAGGUUUGGCAUAGGUUUGAUCCUGGACCCUUGUUGGCAAAAUGGUUUCCAGCUCUAGGAGGAUUUAAAACUCUUGUAAUAGGCAAAUAAUAGUGUUAGGAACCUGCAUGUUACUCACCUGUAUGUUACACGUAUUUCUCCAGUUACUAAGAGGCUUCAUUACCACCUUAGUUCAUCAAAAGACCUCAGCACAAGUAUACAUGAAUCACUAUUAAUCUGUCUCACAGGAAGAUCUAGAUAGUGAGGAUGAGAAUGAGAACUCCCACUAGUGAGUGAGGUUCUCAAAGGGGGGACUGAGAAGAGAGGCCAUUUCUCCUACUGUCCCCUGUCUCCAAAUAAAAGGAGGAAGUAAAAACUGAAAAAUAACAGACUGACUGGCUCCACUGGCCAGGCCUGUAGGUUAAAGAUUAACCCCCACUCUAACCGCUUGUGCUAUCUAUAGAUCACAGACAAUGGUAUGGAGAAAUACUUGCCUUCCUCACCACCCCUACCUAGUCACGCAGACAAUGGUAUGGAGAAAUACUUGCCUUGCUCACCACCCCUACCUAGUUGCGUACCCCAUGCUUGCUCAGUCUAUCACAACCUUUUCACGUGGACCCCUUAGAGUUCUAAGCCCUUAAAAGGGCCAGGAACUCUUUCUUCAGGGAGCUUGGUUCUUGAGAUACAAGUCUGCCAAUGCUCCCAGCCGAAUAAAGCCUCUUCCUUCUUUAACCCGGUGUCUGAAGGGUUUUGUCUGUGGCUCGUCCUGCUACAGACCCAAUUCUUCUCAAGUCAGAUCCACACUUUUAUGCACACUGAAGCUCUGAAGUUUCCCAACAACGAAAGGUUUAGAAAAUGCUCUUUGCACAGUGUCUGAUACAACAUGCAAAACCUUAUCAUUAUCAUCUUCAUCAUCAUCAGCUAAUGUUAUUACUUAGAAAAUCUGGCCGAGUAUUAAUAAAGGUGGGGUGUUUACUGUGGGAAAGUGAAGGCUGCCUUGAAAUGGCUAAUUUUUUUCUCAAUAGAAGAAAUAAAAAAGGGUGCCAAGA